CAUACACAUCGUCCUCAGUUGAACCCUGCCACGCGCUCUAUUCUAAGGCGCACGUUACAGAUUUGAACUCUUCCUAUCCCCAAUGCCGCCGAUCCAGGGAGAAGCAAGGAUGGGCUCUCGCGCUGAAGACCUACGCGUCUUGUAGGUGACGGAGGUGUCGUCGUCGUCCCCCGCCAGGUCCUGCUUGCGCAGGACUUCCUGCCGGUAGGUUCUGUAGAGCAGGAUGAAGAGGCCGGCCUCGGCGGCCUGGAACAGCGCGUACAGCAGCGGGAACAUGUACAGCCCGCCGAUCAGCUGCGGCGGGAAGGCCAGCUUCAGGAUGGCGGUGCACAGCUGCACGUUCUGGCAGCCGGUCUCCAGGGAGACGGACCGGCGGCUGCUGGGCGGCAGGUCGAAGAGCGUGGCCAGGCCGUACCCGGCCGCGUAGCCCGCCAUGGGCAUGAGCACCGCCACGGCGUACACAGCCGGCGGGAUGGUGGCCAGGAGCUCCGGGCCCAGCAUGACCCCCGUCAUUAUGAAGAGCAUCACCAGGCUAUCAACAUUACAGAAUUCUGAACGACCCCAAAGGCUUUGAUUCACCGUAACUGUGUUUCAGGAGGGACAUAAUGUUGGACAGGUUCCCUCCGGGACAGCAGCCGCACAACAGCACCGCAAUCGCCGCCACGUCGUUCAGCGAGAAUGUGAGCGCCAAGAGGAACGCCACGAGCGGCAUGAUCACGAACUGGCACACCAGCGCCAGCAGGACCCCGAUGGGUCUGCGGAUGUGCUCGCCCAGCUGGCUCAGCUCCACCGUGCAGCCCAGCCCCAGCAUGGUGAAGCACAGGACGAUCCCCACGAACACGUUGAUGCCGUGGCUCAGCGGGGAGUCCCAGAAGGCCACCACGAGAUGCGCCGGGGCAGGGGCCGGACCUGAGGGAUCCCCUGCGAACAAGCGGCCGGCCACGGUAGUCCUGAAAGUGCUGGCCAUAAGAGACACUGGGUUCCUGGUGACGCGUAAUCCUGCGCUGGCGAGGUCCUCUUGGAAGCUCUCUGGCACCGGGGUGACGCUCGUGUCAUUUUCCGUGAAGUUGAAAAAAGAUGGCAAGCUAAUGGGUGAAAGUGUGUCGCUGUUAGUCGCGCUUGAGUUCUCCAUCGUAUUUGGGAUAAAUUCUCUCUCUGGGGAGGCAGGGCGAGUCAGGUGUGUUUCCCCUUUGGGUGCGCGCGCUAGAGUCGUGUCCCCUUAGCGGAGCAUCGUCGCAGUCUGCUGUCACCAAUGGCUGAGGACGUCUCGAGGCUCAAACGUUUGGUUAAUGCGCUGGCAUCUUGGGAAGUGGUCAAGGCUUUAAAACACGUCCGCCUCGAGAGUGUCUGGCGCCGCGGAUUGGUCCUACGCAGACGCGAGCGCGUGUCAGAUGAGUAUAUGGGACGUGGCUGGAGGGGUCUCUGCUUAUCUUCUCUGAGAGGCGCGUGCUGGCGGAUGGAUGCACUCUCGUUCUCCCACGCAGUCCUUUUAUCUGGGCUCGUGCGUGAGGACAACUCGACAUUCUCUCCUUUAUACGCUGCUACUCUAACACAUCCAUUCGCGUUUAUCUUUUUUUUUCUUAAUGGACUGUAAUAUUUUUCUACGGUGAACUUCCCUCUGAUACACUUUUACGAAAUAAUAGCAUUUUCGCAUUUUGAUGCAGUCUUUACCAAGCUGAUGUGCCUGCAAACGCAAAGCAUUGCAUUAUUGGGGUAAAAUUGAUAAAAAUCUAUUUCUGCAAGUUCUAUCACAUUAUUGAAAGCAAACAACGCAAACCCGCCGUGCGCGGCAGUGACGGAGGCGGGGCCUUGCCGGAAAUGUCUACUGGGAGACGCACGGGCCUGAAGUCGCGUGGCGCGCUCGAGAAGGCCGGUAUAAUUGAGGUUUAGCAAUUAUGCCCAGCCAUUUUUUUUGUUUGUUACUCAGACAAUGCUGUCAACGGCAGGGACUCUAGCCUUCAGCACAGUUUGCAGGUUGGCUCCGUCAUGGCUUCUGAUUUGUAUUUGCUUAAAAAGUCGACAGGUUUUAAAAAAAACUUAUUUACACUUUAAAGGUUUCAUAUUCUGGUCACAUUGCCGACUAGGCGGCUGGUUUCAUCCCAUUAGCUUGGUGCUCUUGUGCUCCGGCGACUGGAGAAAUAGGAAAUCAGCGCACGUUUCAGCGCCUCGGCGCCCCCAGCCCCCCAUACCCCGCUUGAAGCUGAUAAGAAGGACAGGCGCGCCUCUCCGUCAUCCAGAAGGAAGAGGGGCCACUCUGUUAAAUUACAGAAAGGCUUGUAACAGAAAGCGAUUACUCCACACUAUCGAUCCCGCGCGGCAGCGCGGCGAAACGCAACGUCCCCCAGCCCUCGUGGCCGUCCAUCAGUCGCUCCCCCCUUCAUCGAUUUUGCGGACAGCUGGACAAUGUUAUGAUUUAUGGCGCGUUGGAGCUGCGGGAAGGUGUCAUGUUGCUGGUAAAUCACCCGUCUAUAUAAUAAAUUUACAGCAAUGA